rnacentral:rRNA from 1 species
UACGUAGGGGGCGAGCGUUGUCCGGAUUUAUUGGGCGUAAAGAGCGUGUAGGCGGCCAGGUAGGUCUGCUGUGAAAACUCGAGGCUUAACCUCGAGCUGUCGGCGGAAACCAUCUGGCUAGAGUCCGGAAGAGGAGAAUGGAAUUCCCGGUGUAGCGGUGAAAUGCGCAGAUAUCAGGAGGAACACCAAUUGCGAAGGCAGCUCCGCUGGG